UUGUGAGACCAUAUGCUGGUGCGGUUGGCCCUGGGUUCCUCCUAAUGCAAGACAAUACUGAUUUUUUUAGCAUGGCUCGUGUGGCCCACUCUGGGAUGGCUGCAGAUGAAAUAGCCGAGAAUAUCGAAUCGGCUGUUAGCACCGUUGUGACCAAACUACGCAUGAAAGGACCAUUGAUUAAGAUCAUCCACCUGAAGAGCCAGUCAUCAGUAGCUCUGCCCAUCUACACCUCUAACAUUAACCACCUGACCCUCUUAGAGGAGACACAGAAACAGGCCCGUGCAGCCAUGGAUGCCAAG